rnacentral:rRNA from 1 species
CAGCCGCCGCGGUAAUACGUAGGUGGCGAGCGUUGUCCGGAUUUAUUGGGCGUAAAGGGAGUGUAGGCGGUCUUUUAAGUCUGAUGUGAAAGCCCACGGCUCAACCGUGGAGGGUCAUUGGAAACUGGGAGACUUGAGUGCAGAAGAGGAGAGCGGAAUUCCAUGUGUAGCGGUGGAAUGCGUAGAUAUAUGGAGGAACACCAGUGGCGAAGGCGGCUCUCUGGUCUGUAACUGACGCUGAGGCUCGAAAGCGUGGGGAGCAAACAGGAUUAGAGACCCCCGUAGUCCCUGUCUCUUAUAC